rnacentral:rRNA from 1 species
CGUAACAAGGUUUCCGUAGGUGAACCUGCGGAAGGAUCAUUGUCGAAACCUGCCAAGGCAGAACAACGUGCGAACCAUUGAUUAAAACUCGGCAAUGGCAGUGAGUGCAGCGUGCUCCCCCGGGGGUUCCGCUGUUCCUCAUUGUGCACCCAGUGAGUGCAGCGUGCUCCCCCGGGGGUUCCGUUGUUCCUCAUUGUGCAACCGGUGAGUGCAACGUGCUCCCCCCAGGGGUUCCGUUGUUCCUCGUUGGGCUGUUGUCAUGCCUGGCGUUGGGGUCUCGUGCCCUGGCUCCAGGCUAACCAAACCCCCGGCACGAGUUGUGCCAAGGAACACAAAUGAAAUGCUUGGGGGGUGCUUUGCCCCCUUAUAAGUAUUAAACAAAACGACUCUUGACAACGGAUAUCUAGGCUCUUGCAUCGAUGAAGAACGUAGCGAAAUGCGAUACUUGGUGUGAAUUGCAGAAUCCCGUGAACCAUCGAGUUUUUGAACGCAAGUUGCGCCCGAAGCCUUCUGGCCGAGGGCACGCCUGCCUGGGCGUCAUAAUUCGUCACCCCUCCUACCAUGCCCUUGGGCUGACUGGGUCGGGGUGGAAUCUGGCUUCCCGCGUCCCCUAGGCGCGGUUGGCCGAAAUUUGGACGCACCAAGGCAUUGCCUGUAGCGGCCUAGGUGGAUCGAAAGGCCCUCUAAGUUUGCCGUGCAGUGCAGUGCCAUCGGUGCCCACGGCCCCUCUCGUGUUUUCCCUUUGCGGGAAAAUACUGUUGCGCGACCCCAGGUCAGGCGGGA